AUUGAACGCUGGCGGCAGGCCUAACACAUGCAAGUCGAGCGGAUGAAGGGAGCUUGCUCCUGGAUUCAGCGGCGGACGGGUGAGUAAUGCCUAGGAAUCUGCCUGGUAGUGGGGGAUAACGUCCGGAAACGGGCGCUAAUACCGCAUACGUCCUGAGGGAGAAAGUGGGGGAUCUUCGGACCUCACGCUAUCAGAUGAGCCUAGGUCGGAUUAGCUAGUUGGUGGGGUAAAGGCCUACCAAGGCGACGAUCCGUAACUGGUCUGAGAGGAUGAUCAGUCACACUGGAACUGAGACACGGUCCAGACUCCUACGGGAGGCAGCAGUGGGGAAUAGUGGACAGUGGGCGAAAGCCUGAUCCAGCCAUACCGCGUGUGUGAAGAAGGUCUUCGGAUUGUAAAGCACUUUAAGUUGGGAGGAAGGGCAGUAAGUUAAUACCUUGCUGUUUUGACGUUACCAACAGAAUAAGCACCGGCUAACUUCGUG
rnacentral:rRNA from 1 species